rnacentral:rRNA from 1 species
AUGGACUUCCAAAACAAAAAGAUCGAGAGCAGGAAGAGAGAAAAGGACAGAGAUUCCCCUCCUGAAAGCCAAGCUAAAAGGGGCCACAUGUCCCCACCUCCAGGUCAAGGCAGGCCCUCUAUACCAAUCCAUAAGAUAUCCCACUACCUUUUGUUUUUCCAGUAUAAAUCUGCGCCCAGGCGUCAGACAUCUUCACCCCCAACUCGGCGGCAGGCAAGAUCUAACGCACUAUCCAUUUCCUUUCCUCCUCUCAAGGCUGUUGUUCUCCAUGAUGAAAGCCUCAUUUCUUUACUGGAUGUAAAGUAUGUCUCAGAGAUUAAGAUAUGGAUCUUAACUGAUGAGUUCAUGAAUGACCAUGAUGUAACAUGCGCAUUUGCUUGCAUUCAUGCAGUGAUUGUUUCCAAGAUGGCCAGUGAUGAGGAUUCACUAGAUGAUCAAAACCCUAGAUCUUGGACCGUUAGCAACACUAGUGUUAUUAACAAGACAGAAGAAGCAUCCAGCAUGUUCUCGGUCCAGGAUCAUCACCCACAAAGAGAAGUAGUGAACUUCUUAAAGGAUGACAAUACCACCAAAACGAUCCAUGAGCAAUGGCAAGCAAAAGAUAAGUUAAAUCAUUUUCUGGCCACUCCUCAUGCCAGAAUUAAUGUUCUUGACCUUGUAAGGCCUUUUCUUGACCUUGCGAUAAUUGAAAAUCUAAACCAUUGGAUGAGGAAUGGACGGCUGGAUGAUCUUCUUCCUCUAACCGUUUCCUCCUCACCCCUGAAUCCAGUGGUGCACAUGCGCGAGCCCUUCUCUGACGCCGGUCAGAACAUCCCCGUCUCCGGUGAGAUCCUGACACGGCCUCUCAAGGGUGGACGCUCCUUGCAGCCGCUCUCAUCCAACUCCGUGGAGUGCACGGAGCGACCCUUCGGCCACUCCGAGAAAGCAGGCUGCGGCCCGCUCCGCGCCGGAACGGAGCACUGCCGAACAGGGCGUUAA